rnacentral:rRNA from 1 species
UUCCCACGGGAGGCAGCAGUAGGGAAUAUUGCUCAAUGGGGGAAACCCUGAAGCAGCGACGCCGCGUGAGGGAUGAAGGUCUUCGGAUCGUAAACCUCUGUCAGCAAGGAAGAACGGUCACUGUGCUAAUCAGCAGUGAAUUGACGGUACCUGCAAAGGAAGCACCGGCUAACUCCGUGCCAGCAGCCGCGGUAAUACGGAGGGUGCGAGCGUUAAUCGGAAUUACUGGGCGUAAAGCGCUCGUAGGCGGUAUGUCAAGUCAAGGGUGAAAUCCCCGCGCUCAACGUGGGAACUGCCUUUGAAAC